rnacentral:rRNA from 1 species
AGAUUGAACGCUGGCGGCAGGCCUAACACAUGCAAGUCGAGCGGUAGAGAGGUGCUUGCAUCUCUUGAGAGCGGCGGACGGGUGAGUAAUGCCUAGGAAUCUGCCUAGUGGUGGGGGAUAACGUUCGGAAACGGACGCUAAUACCGCAUACGUCCUACGGGAGAAAGCGGGGGACCUUCGGGCCUCGCGCCAUUAGAUGAGCCUAGGUCGGAUUAGCUAGUUGGUGAGGUAAUGGCUCACCAAGGCGACGAUCCGUAACUGGUCUGAGAGGAUGAUCAGUCACACUGGAACUGAGACACGGUCCAGACUCCUACGGGAGGCAGCAGUGGGGAAUAUUGGACAAUGGGCGAAAGCCUGAUCCAGCCAAUGCCGCGUGUGUGAAGAAGGUCUUCGGAUUGUAAAGCACUUUAAGUUGGAGAAGGUUGUAACCUAAUACGUUGCAACUUUGACGUUACCGACAGAAUAAGCACCGGCUAACUCGUGCCAGCAGCCGACG